CAGUAGCCGCGGUAAUACGUAGGUGGCAAGCGUUGUCCGGAAUUAUUGGGCGUAAAGGGCUCGCAGGCGGUUUCUUAAGUCUGAUGUGAAAGCCCCCGGCUCAACCGGGGAGGGUCAUUGGAAACUGGGAAACUUGAGUGCAGAAGAGGAGAGUGGAAUUCCACGUGUAGCGGUGAAAUGCGUAGAGAUGUGGAGGAACACCAGUGGCGAAGGCGACUCUCUGGUCUGUAACUGACGCUGAGGAGCGAAAGCGUGGGGAGCGAACAGGAUUAGAUACCCCGGUAGUCCCUGUCUCUUAUAC
rnacentral:rRNA from 1 species